CUGGCGGAGAAAGCACGUGGUCCUCCUGCAUUUUACUGUCUUCAUUUCAAGCAUUUUCAACUUUAGACACGUAACUCAUUGGGAAGAAUGUCAGCCUCACACAGUAUUCCAUAUCGCGACAUCAUGAGGCAGGCAGUUGGGUGCUGGAGCACAGUGCACUGUGGAACUAAGCUUCUUAGAUCCUGUGAUUCUAGAAGUCUCAUCUAUUCCCACAUGAGUUCCAGCUCUCCAAGAGGAAGAUACACUGAGAAGGGUCAGACUAAUUCUCCGGAGUCUACAGUAUUCCCUAUGUGGUCUCUAAUUUUGGGUGCGGGGAGUGAAAUGGCUCUCUUCCAGUUUCCUGUGGCACAGAGAGCAGCACAGUUGGAACUUCUCUCUCUCCCACCUAUUUGAUUAUUACCUGUAACUCCUUUUUAAAUCAUUGUCUUACAUUCUUCUACCAUUUGUAGUAAAUCCAUUAUUUUUCCUUAUCUUAAUUGAGUCAUUUUUUUCUUCUUCUCUAAAAGGGAACAGGAGGGUGAAAGGGGUCAGGAUUGCCUUCUCCCCAUUCUUCUCCUCAUGUCAUGCAUGAAACCAUGACGUAUACACCAAUAAAUUCAGAAGAAUCUUGCCAGUGUCUUUUGGGCCACUCUUGAUUAUAUUUGGAAUGUCAUGCAGAUCAGAAGAAAUUCCUGAAAAUGUGGAGAACUUCUGCCCUUGAAAGGCACAAGAAGGAUCUGUGGAAGCACAGGCCAGUCCUGUAACCAAUUCUAGUCACUUGAAGGACAAGAAGGUGACUGGGAGUAGUCAUCCUGGAUUGAUCAAGGGGAAGUCAUAUGUGAUUAACCUGAUAGCCUUUUACGAUUAGAUAACUGACUUGGUGGACAAUAGGAGACUAGUGGAUGUUGCUUAUUUAGACUCUAAGAAUGUUUUUGACACUCUCAUUCAUUAUAUCUUAACAGAGAAACUGGUAAAAUAUGUUCUAGAUAAGUGCAAGUGAGGUAGGUUAAACAUUUGCUGAACUGCUGGAUGAGGAGGAUUGUGAUCAGCAGCAUGAAGUUCAGUUGAAGCCCAGUCAUUAGUGGUGUAUCCUAGGGAUCAAUAUUGGCUCCAGUACUUUUUAAGAUUUCCAUUAAACACCUUGAUGACAGCAGACAUACUCAGCAGAUUUAUAGGCAAUAGUGAGAAGAGGCUAAUAUACCAACUGGUUGUGUUUCUCAGUAGAUUGAAGAAAUGAGCUGACAGGAAUCUCAUGAUGUUCAAAGAAGGAAAGCAAAGUUCUGUACCUGUUGAGGAAAAACUCCAUGCACCAGUACUGGCUGGGAGCCAACCAGCUGGAGAGCAUCUUUGCAGAAAACAGGACUUUGCAGUCCUGUUUGUCCUUUCGGACAAGAUGAUUGCGAGCCAGCAAUGUGCUUUUGUAGCAAAGAUGUCUUUCAGUUUGCACUGGCAAGAAAAUUGCCAGCAGGUCAAGUGGGGUGAUACUUCCCCUCUGAUCAUCUGUGGUUAGAUACGCACGGAGUGCUGGUUCCAAUUUCGAGUUCCUCGGAACACGGAAAAUGUAGACAUGCUAGAACAAGUUAUUUAAAUAUACACAUUAAAAAGAUGCUAUUUUUAAAAGAGUAGAGCAUUUGUCAUGUAAGGAGAAACUGAGAUAGGUAGAACUGUUCAGCCUGGAGUAAUCUUAGAGAUAUUGUAUUGAUUUGAAGAAGUAAUUAUACAAAAUAUUCUGUUAAUGCUUGCUUGCUGCACCACAGUAGCCUUUAGAUGUGAUUGAUAAUUGUGAUGUAGCAUUGUAGACAGGGAGAUAUGUUGUAAGACUGUUCUGUUCAGAUAAUUUAUGUACAUAUUGGUGUUUUUUUGUACUGAUAGUGAAUAGUAGCAUUCAUUUUUAGGGAAAAGAUUGGCAAUUGUAGCAGAAGGUUGGCAUAAAAAAAAAAAAAAACGGUAUCAUCUCCCAGUCUCCUGCAUCAAGCUAGAAACAUUUGCUCCUAAGCCAAGUCAGCCAAUAAACCCACCUGGGCCCUCCCAUUCAAAGGCAAACAACUCCAAAGAAGUGCUUUCAAAUGUAAAACUGUCCAUAAAGUGAUGCUGAUUGCCUCAUGUUGACUUGAGAUAUCCCUUACCGGUCUCAGACAAGAGUUAACCACUGUUUUGUUAAGUAAGAAAACAACAUUUUAAAAAAAUAUAAAAAAUCUAUUACGAAUGAAAUACAAGACGUUUGGUCAAGAUGCAUCUUUUUAGUUCUAGUAAAAGUAUAUCAGCAGCGGAUACGUAUAGAAUCCUACUUUUUUGUUAGCAUCAGUGAGUUAUAUUAAUAAAUUGAACAAAAUUCAAAAUUUUAUACAGCGAGAACAGUUAUUUGGCUUACUUAUGAUAUUAGAGAGACAACAAAGCCUAAGAGGCUAGAAAAUCAGAAUGAGGAGUUUAUUAUCAAGUGCUGUAUAUUAAUAAAAUGAAAUAAAUGCAAUCAAAACACAGAUGAGGGUCUCUGACACUGUUUGUAAUCUUCAUUCCUCUCCUGAGAUCAGUUCCUGACUCCUUAUUAAUUUUUAUCAAAUCACCCCUGUGAUAAGAUGUAAAGUCGUUUGUUCAUUGUAUGAGGUGUUAUUUGUAUAAGGUGAUAACCAUAUAAGGAAGAACAGACUCACGGCUAGGGAUGGGAAGAUUGGGAGCCUUCUUUAUGGCUGUUUGUUCAUUGUAAAGGGAAGUGCUAACGGCCUGGCGGUUGGGGGUACAGGCUGCGGGCAAACAUCCUGAUCUGGUGACUACACUUGUAAGAACAUGAACAUCCUGUUUCGCCACUUCACCUCCCCCACUCUAGAUUGAGCAAACCAAGGACAAGGAAAACUGUGAUGACACCUAACAACAGGGAAGCGCAGCUGCAGAAGGUGAACUAGAAUCCACAGCAACCCGGAACUGAGAGACUAUAAAAGUUGGGAGUCGCGGGCAGAGUGCGCGCGCCGUUUGCGGAGCUGCGACUCCCCGGCCGCCCAGCGCUGCUUUCGCUUGUUUUUUUGCUUACUCAAUUAAUAAAACAUUUUUGCGAACCGAUUUGAUGCGGUCUAAUUUA